GACGAACGCUGGCGGCGUGCUUAACACAUGCAAGUCGAACGGAAAGGCCCCUUUGGGGGUACUCGAGUGGCGAACGGGUGAGUAACACGUGAGUAACCUGCCCUUGACUUCGGGAUAACUUCAGGAAACUGGGGCUAAUACCGGAUAGGAAUCCUUGCUGCAUGGUGGGGGUUGGAAAGCUUCGGCGGUUUUGGAUGGACUCGCGGCGUAUCAGCUUGUUGGUGGGGUAGUGGCUUACCAAGGCUUUGACGGGUAGCCGGCCUGAGAGGGCGACCGGCCACAUUGGGACUGAGAUAAGGCCCAGACUCCUACGGGAGGCAGCAGUGGGGAAUAUUGCACAAUGGGCGGAAGCCUGAUGCAGCAACGCCGCGUGCGGGAGGACGGCCUUCGGGUUGUAAACCGCUUUCAGCAGGGGCGAAGCUUGUGGUGACGGUACCUGCAGAAGAAGCACCGGCUAACUACGUG
rnacentral:rRNA from 1 species